AUGCACCGCCGCCUCUCCUUCGUCGCCCCCUGCCUGCUCCGCACUGACUCCCAGCGCAACCUCUUCUUCGACGCCCCCGCGCACCACCUCACCGCCGCCACCGCUGCCCUGCGGGUCCGCCUCUAUGGCCUCGAUGACUGGGCCCUCUCCCGCGCCGUCCUCGUGCUCAAGCACCCCCCGUGCAUCCAUGCCGACGUCAACCACAUCGAGGAGGUCGAGGAGCCCCUCGACCCGGCCCUCGCCUGCGUUAACAACCCCGUCCGUCUUGGUGGGGUCAAUUCCCACAUCGGCUGA
rnacentral:rRNA from 1 species